GAUGAAGAACGUAGCGAAAUGCGAUAAGUAAUGUGAAUUGCAGAAUUCAGUGAAUCAUCGAAUCAUUGAACGCACAUUGCGCCCCUUGGUAUUCCGAGGGGCAUGCCUGUUCGAGCGUCAUUAUAACCCCUCAAGCUCAGCUUGGUGUUGGGGCCUGCUGCACUGGCAGCCCUUAAAAUCAGUGGCGGCGCCAUCUGGCUCUAAGCGUAGUAAUUCUUCUCGCUAUGGAGUCCUGGUGGAUGCUUGCCAUCAACCCCCAAUUUUUCUAUGGUUGACCUCGGAUCAGGUAGGGAUACCCGCUGAACUUAAGCAUAUCAAUAAGCGGAGGA
rnacentral:misc_RNA from 1 species